rnacentral:rRNA from 1 species
GAUGAACGCUGGCUACAGGCUUAACACAUGCAAGUCGAGGGGAAACGGCAUCGAAAGCUUGCUUUUGAUGGGCGUCGACCGGCGCACGGGGGAGUAACGCGUAUCCAACCUGCCCAUCACUUGGGAAUAACCUUGCGAAAGUAAGACUAAUGCCCAAUGACAUCCCACGAAGGCAUCCGAAUGGGAUUAAAGAUUUAUCGGUGAUGGAUGGGGAUGCGUCUGAUUAGCUUGUUGGCGGGGUGACGGCCCACCAAGGCAACGAUCAGUAGGGGUUCUGAGAGGAAGGUCCCCCACAUUGGAACUGAGACACGGUCCAAACUCCUACGGGAGGCAGCAGUGAGGAAUAUUGGUCAAUGGGCGAGGGCCUGAACCAGCCAAGUAGCGUGCAGGAUGCCGGCCCUAUGGGUUGUAAACUGCUUUUAUAAGGGAAUAAAGUGGGUCACGUGUGACUUUUUGCAUGUACCUUAUGAAUAAGGACCGGCUAAUUCCGUG